rnacentral:rRNA from 1 species
AUGGCCAACGAGAUCAUUCUGCGUCUCGACAUCGCCCAGGAAAGCAGACAACUGUUGCGCGGCGAGCUCCAGCUGCGGAAGCAGCUCAAGCUGCGCAUCCUCGGCCUCGCUGCGAUCGACAAAGCUCGGAAGCGGCAAGCGUCGCGUGUCACCUGGCUCCGUGCGGGCGAUGCCAAGACGGUGUUUUUCCAGGCUAAAAUCAACUCUAGGCGCCAGAAGGACUUCAUCCACGCCCUCCGCACCAGCGACUCCAUUGCCACCUCCCACAGUGACAAAGAGCGGAUCAUUCAUGAGCAUUUCAACUCCACACUGGGGACGGCGACCCCUUGUAGCUGCACCAUUGACUGGGACGCCAUCCACUUGCCGACCCUGCCCGCGGCCAGCCUCGACAACCCUUUCACCGAGGAGGCGGUGUGGGCGGCGAUCUGCAAAUCUCCGCAGGAGAAAUCCCCAGGGCUGGAUGGCUUCAACGGCACGUUCUACCGCUCCUGCUGGCCCAUCAUCAAGGAGGACGUCAUGGCAGCAUUUCACUAGUUCUACACCAUAAAAUUGGGUAGUAAUUUCAGUGGGCUUAGUGUGUUAUCCCUUGGCUGUUUCUCUCUUGCACCAUAUCGUUGA